AGAGUUUGAUCCUGGCUCAGAUUGAACGCUGGCGGCAUGCCUUACACAUGCAAGUCGAACGGUAGAGGGGCAACCCUUGAGAGUGGCGAACGGGUGAGUAAUGCAUCGGAACGUGCCCAGUCGUGGGGGAUAACGCAGCGAAAGCUGUGCUAAUACCGCAUGUGAUCUGUGGAUGAAAGCAGGGGACUUGGUAGCAAUACUGGGCCUUGUGCGAUUGGAGCGGCCGAUGUCAGAUUAGCUAGUUGGUAGGGUAAAAGCCUACCAAGGCGACGAUCUGUAGCUGGUCUGAGAGGACGACCAGCCACACUGGGACUGAGACACGGCCCAGACUCCUACGGGAGGCAGCAGUGGGGAAUUUUGGACAAUGGGCGCAAGCCUGAUCCAGCAAUGCCGCGUGCAGGACGAAGGCCUUCGGGUUGUAAACUGCUUUUGUACGGAGCGAAACGGUCUGGGUUAAUACCCUAGGCUAAUGACGGUACCGUAAGAAUAAGCACCGGCUAACUACGUGCCAGCAGCCGCGGUAAUAC
rnacentral:rRNA from 2 species